CCCUCCUGGGAAGAGCUGUUUCUCUGAACCUCUUGCUGUCCAAAUUUAUUUCAUCUGGAUGUCAGCCGAUCCUUUUGGAAGCCUCAGCACUGCUGUGUGGAGAGAAGCAAGCAGCUGCCCUUUCAUACCACCAUUUUCACAAUUAUCUAAUCAAGGUUAAGCCAAGGAGUCCCCUUUACCUCACACCUCCCACAUCUGGAGUGCAGCUGCCUUUUGCUGCGCUUUUGAGUCCUGGGCAUCAUUUUCCUCAGCUCUUUGAUUCAGAAGCUGGGCUGUUCUCACAGGAGACCAGGAGCAGUGAGAAGGUGUUUGCAGCUGAAGAACAUUCCAGCACGUUCUGGAAUGCAGUGGGAGGGUUGGGUGGCAGUUUGGAUGUGCAGGAUACACUGUGGGUGUAUUUCUGAAGAAAAUUCAGAAAGAAUGGCUUUGACCAGCACUUGAUCAUGUUUCUGCUGUUUGUGGGGAUUCUAUUCCCCUGUGGCUUACUUUGGACGUGGUUUUUAUUUCCAGAAUUUUUUUU